rnacentral:rRNA from 1 species
UACGUAGGGUGCGAGCGUUGUCCGGAAUUACUGGGCGUAAAGAGCUCGUAGGUGGUUUGUCGCGUUGUUCGUGAAAACUCACAGCUCAACUGUGGGCGUGCGGGCGAUACGGGCAGACUGGAGUGCGGUAGGGGAGAAUGGAAUUCCUGGUGUAGCGGUGGAAUGCGCAGAUAUCAGGAGGAACACCGAUGGCGAAGGCAGUUCUCUGGGCCGUAACUGACGCUGAGGAGCGAAAGCGUGGGGAGCGAACAGG